GAUAUCCGCCAAGAAGAUUUUCAACAAAAUCACGGCCUGAACACCCGCGCCACGAUCCUUUCUUUCCCCCGACUUUCGGCGAUUCGUUACGUGUGCUGCAGUGAAACCCCACCCAUAAAACCACGGGAGGCGACAAAAAAGGGAAGAAGGAAAAGGUACGCAAGGUGGAGGACGAGCGGAUGCUUGCGCCUGUGCAAGAAAAGGAGAAGAUCUUUGGUUUUUUUCAAGCUGGGAAAGUUUUAAUUCUGGGUUCCAUACUUUGUGUUUGAUUCCAAGAUCUUUUGUUUUUCUCUAUUUCGUCGAGUCGGUUGUACAUUGCACUGGAUAACAUGACCAUGCACGACCAAGAUCCCAAUCUUGUACGCUGGGGCCUCCAUCAACUUCUGGAUGUUUGCUCUAUUUCCAAUGCCGGUUCAUGUGGCUGUGUAACUCAAUAUGAUCCAGACUUGAGUAGUGUCGAACACGUGAGAGAAGGCUACGUCGAAGCAGAUCAACCAGGCUACGUUGAAGCAGAACAACCAAGUGUGGAGAAUGAUGAGAUGAUUGCGCAUGCUUUGCAAGAAGAACUUUCACGACUCGCUCUUGAAGAAGCAUCUGGUGCGUCAACUUCUGGAAUCGAACAAUUACAAGCUUCGGUUUUGACCCAGGAUUGGCUCGCUCCUUCGGAGAGAUACUCUGAUGCUGAAGGAUGGGAAAAUGAUCAACGAUUGGAAGAUCGAAAAGAGGAUGGAGCACGUGAUGAGGUGGGAAAUGCUAAUUCAUGUUCCAGCUCAGGGUCUGAUUAUGAUGUGGAUAUGCUACACAUGGCAGAUGAAUCUGUGCUUGAUGGUGAAGUUAGCAAGAGGUUGAAUCAGAUGGUCCCUGUUCGUCAUGUGCCUAAAAUUAAUGGUGAAAUACCUUCUGUAGAAGAAGAGGUGUCGGAUCAUCAAAGGCUGCUAGACAGGUUACAGAUAUACGAUCUUGUUGAAAAUAAAAUCCAGGGAGAUGGUAACUGCCAGUUUCGUGCCUUAUCAGACCAACUAUAUCGAUCACCUGAGCACCACAGAUUUGUGAGGCAGCAAAUUGUUCAACAGCUGAAGUCGUGUCCAGAGAUGUAUGAUGGCUAUGUUCCAAUGGCUUUCGGCGACUAUUUGCAGAGAAUGAGCAAGAGUGGAGAAUGGGGUGAUCAUGUCACACUGCAAGCUGCUGCAGAUUCCUAUGGAGUCAGGAUUUUGGUGAUCACUUCUUUUAAGGACACGUGCUACAUUGAGAUCCUUCCACAUAUUUCCAAGUCUAAACGAGUCAUUUUCUUGAGUUUCUGGGCAGAGGUGCACUACAACUCAAUUUAUCCUGAAGGAGAAGCCACUGCUGUUUCCACCUACAAACUUUAUUUUUCCUAGUUGGCCACUCUAUUCUUGAUGCAAUUAAGCGGUACCAAGUGUGUGGCGACUGUAGUCCAGUUGGCCUGUUGAUUUCCUGUGGAUAUUCCUUAAAACUCUGAUAUGGUUAAUUGGGGAGCUGUAGUGGUGCUAACAUAGAUAGCUGCCUGAACUUUCAGACCAUAAAAAGAAGAAGUGGUGGUGGGUGUUCUGAAAUUAUGCUCGACCGUCCUCAUCAUUCUUGGAUUGUCACUUAAUGUUUUGUCAAUUGGAGCUCUAUAACAUUCUCCAUGCUUUGUCUUCGGAGGUCCAUUGUGAUGGCUAUGCUGUGUCUUGUGCAUCCAUGUAUAGCCCCGGGGUGAUGAUGUUGCAUAUAGGAUUUUAGCUAGUGACGACAGCCUUCUCUCAGUUUCUUUCUCUCUGUACAUAUUUUUCCUCCGAGCCCUCAGACUUUUGUUGAUCACCUUGUAUUUCAUCUUUUGUAAAUAGUGGGAGAGGGGUUCAGAUUCUCAUUGAUUGAUUGGUUCAUUAUUUGUACAAAUUAUAACAGGUUUUGUAGGCAUUCUCUUGUGCUA